UACGUAGGUGGCAAGCGUUGUCCGGAUUUACUGGGCGUAAAGAGCGCGCAGGCGGUCGUUCAAGUCGCGUGUGAAAGCCCCCCGGCUCAACUGGGGAGGGUCACGCGAUACUGAUCGACUCGAAGGCAGGAGAGGGAAGUGGAAUUCCCGGUGUAGUGGUGGAAAUGCGUAGAUAUCGGGAGGAACACCAGUGGCGAAGGCGACUUCCUGGCCUGUUCUUGACGCUGAGGCGCGAAAGCUAGGGGAGCAAACGGG
rnacentral:rRNA from 1 species